CCCUUAGAUGUUCUGGGCCGCACGCGCGCUACACUGAUGUAUUCAACGAGUUUCUUCCUGGUCCGAGAGGAAUGGGUAACCUUUUGAAAGUGCAUCGUGAUAGGGAUAGACUAUUGCAAUUAUUGGUCUUCAACGAGGAAUUCCUAGUAGACGUAGUUCAUCAGACUGCAUCGAUUACGUCCCUGCCCUUUGUACACACCGCCCGUCGCUCCUACCGAUUGAAUGCUCAGGUGAGCCAUUCGGACCUUCAUCAUGCCGGUUUCCGGUUUUGAUGAGGGAAAGUCUUGCGAACCUUAUCAUUUAGAGGAAGGAGAAGUCGUAACA
rnacentral:rRNA from 1 species